rnacentral:rRNA from 1 species
UACAGAGGGUGCAAGCGUUGUUCGGAAUUAUUGGGCGUAAAGGGCGCGUAGGCGGUGCUAUAAGUCUGUGGUGAAAUCUCUGGGCUCAACUCAGAGUCUGCCAUACAAACUGUCUGACUAGAGUGUGGGAUGGGUAAGUGGAAUUCCUGGUGUAGCGGUGAAAUGCGUAGAUAUCAGGAGGAACACCGGUGGUGUAGACGGCUUACUGGACCAUAACUGACGCUGAGACACGAAAGCGUGGGUAGCAAACAGG